GAUGAACGCUGGCGGCGUGCCUAAUACAUGCAAGUCGAGCGAACGGACGAGAAGCUUGCUUCUCUGAUGUUAGCGGCGGACGGGUGAGUAACACGUGGAUAACCUACCUAUAAGACUGGGAUAACUUCGGGAAGCCGGAGCUAAUACCGGAUGAUAUUUUGAACCGCAUGGUUCAAAAGUGAAAGACGGUCUUGCUGUCACUUAUAGAUGGAUCCGCGCUGCAUUAGCUAGUUGGUAAGGUAACGGCUUACCAAGGCAACGAUGCAUAGACGACCUGAGAGGGUGAUCGGCCACACUGGAACUGAGACACGGUCCAGACUCCUACGGGAGGCAGCAGUAGGGAAUCUUCCGCAAUGGGCGAAAGCCUGACGGAGCAACGCCGCGUGAGUGAUGAAGGUCUUCGGAUCGUAAAACUCUGUUAUUAGGGAAGAACAUAUGUGUAAGUAACUGUGCACAUCUUGACGGUACCUAAUCAGAAAGCCACGGCUAACUACGUG
rnacentral:rRNA from 1 species